AACGAACGCUGGCGGCAUGCCUAACACAUGCAAGUCGAACGAGACCUUCGGGUCUAGUGGCGCACGGGUGCGUAACGCGUGGGAACCUGCCCUUAGGUUCGGAAUAACUCCCCGAAAGGGGUGCUAAUACCGGAUAAUGUCUUCGGACCAAAGAUUUAUCGCCUUUGGAUGGGCCCGCGUUGGAUUAGCUAGUUGGUAGGGUAAAAGCCUACCAAGGCGACGAUCCAUAGCUGGUCUGAGAGGAUGAUCAGCCACACUGGGACUGAGACACGGCCCAGACGCGGAGGGGGUGGAGGAGGGGAGAAGAGAGAAGGAGGGGGGAAAGACAGGACAAGCAGGGGGGUGGUGGUGAGGUAGGUUGGAGGGGUAUAAAGUGUUUGUGCGCGGGAAGAGAAAAGAUGCACGGGGAGAAUACGGUCCGACUCACCCCGCGACAGCGGCGGGGGUAAUAAACGUAAGAGCAGACGUCUAACC
rnacentral:rRNA from 1 species